rnacentral:rRNA from 1 species
GACGAACGCUGGCGGCGUGCUUAACACAUGCAAGUCGAACGGAAAGGCCCUGCUUUUGUGGGGUGCUCGAGUGGCGAACGGGUGAGUAACACGUGAGUAACCUGCCCUUGACUUUGGGAUAACUUCAGGAAACUGGGGCUCAUACCGGAUAGGAGCUCCUGCUGCAUGGUGGGGGUUGGAAAGUUUCGGCGGUUGGGGAUGGACUCGCGGCUUGUCAGCUUGUUGGUGGGGUAGUGGCUUACCAAGGCUUUGACGGGUAGCCGGCCUGAGAGGGUGACCGGCCACAUUGGGACUGAGAUACGACCCAGACUCAUACGGGAGGCAGCAGUGGGGAAUAUUGCACAAUGGGCGGAAGCCUGAUGCAGCAACGCCGCGUGCGGGAUGACGGCCUUCGGGUUGUAAACCGCUUUCGCCUGUGACGAAGCGUGAGUGACGGUAAUGGGUAAAGAAGCACCGGCUAACUACGUG